UUAAUUGAAACCAAAAAGAGGUAUAUUACUGUUAAUAAUAAAAUUGAGCUUAACUCCAAUUAAA
rnacentral:tRNA from 1 species